GCCUCGGUGGUGUAGUGGUAUCACGUGCCUCCCGUUAUGGGUGAAACGCGGGUUCACCUCUCGCCUGAGAUCA